rnacentral:rRNA from 1 species
AUUGAACGCUGGCGGCAUGCUUUACACAUGCAAGUCGAACGGCAGCGCGGGCUUUGGCCUGGCGGCGAGUGGCGAACGGGUGAGUAAUACAUCGGAACGUGCCCAGUAGUGGGGGAUAGCUCGGCGAAAGCCGGAUUAAUACCGCACACGACCUGAGGGUGAAAGCGGGGGAUCUUCGGACCUCGCGCUCUUGGAGCGGCCGAUGGCAGAUUAGCUAGUUGGUGGGGUAAAGGCCUACCAAGGCGACGAUCUGUAGCUGGUCUGAGAGGACGACCAGCCACACUGGGACUGAGACACGGCCCAGACUCCUACGGGAGGCAGCAGUGGGGAAUGUUGGACAAUGGGCGAAAGCCUGAUCCAGCAAUGCCGCGUGUGUGAUGAAGGCCUUCGGGUUGUAAAGCACUUUUGGCGGGAACGAAAAGGACUGUGCCAAUACCACGGUUCGAUGACGGUACCCGCAGAAUAAGCACCGGCUAACUACGUG